AACGAACGCUGGCGGCAGGCUUAACACAUGCAAGUCGAGCGCCCCGCAAGGGGAGCGGCAGACGGGUGAGUAACGCGUGGGAAUCUACCCAUCACUACGGAACAACUCCGGGAAACUGGAGCUAAUACCGUAUACGUCCUUCGGGAGAAAGAUUUAUCGGUGAUGGAUGAGCCCGCGUUGGAUUAGCUAGUUGGUGGGGUAAUGGCCUACCAAGGCGACGAUCCAUAGCUGGUCUGAGAGGAUGAUCAGUCACACUGGGACUGAGACACGGCCCAGACUCCUACGGGAGGCAGCAGUGGGGAAUAUUGGACAAUGGGCGAAAGCCUGAUCCAGCCAUGCCGCGUGAGUGAUGAAGGCCCUAGGGUUGUAAAGCUCUUUCACCGGUGAAGAUAAUGACGGUAACCGGAGAAGAGGCCCCGGCUAACUUCGUGCCAGCCGCCGCGGUAAUAC
rnacentral:rRNA from 1 species